rnacentral:rRNA from 1 species
UACGGAGGGUGCGAGCGUUGUCCGGAAUCAUUGGGCGUAAAGGGCGCGUAGGUGGCCCGGUCAGUCUUUGGUGAAAGCGCGGGGCUCAACCCUGCGUCGGCCAGGGAUACUGCCGCGGCUCGAGCACUGUAGAGGCAGGCGGAAUUCCGGGUGUAGCGGUGGAAUGCGUAGAGAUCCGGAAGAACACCAGUGGCGAAGGCGACUCACUGGCCCGAUACUGACGCUGAGGCGCGAAAGCGUGGGGAGCAAACAGG